rnacentral:rRNA from 1 species
CUCUAGGGAGACUGCCGGUGAUAAACCGGAGGAAGGUGGGGACGACGUCAAGUCAUCAUGGCCCUUACGAGUAGGGCUACACACGUGCUACAAUGGCGAGUACAGAGGGUUGCAAAGCCGCGAGGUGGAGCUAAUCUCACAAAGCUCGUCGUAGUCCGGAUUGGAGUCUGCAACUCGACUCCAUGAAGUCGGAAUCGCUAGUAAUCGUGGAUCAGAAUGCCACGGUGAAUACGUUCCCGGGCCUUGUACACACCGCCCGUCACACCAUGGGAGUGGGCUGCAAAAGAAGUGGGUAGCUUAACCUUCGGGGGGGCGCUCACCACUUUGUGGUUCAUGACUGGGGUG